GUAACCUUUGAACACUUUUUGCUUUUCAUUAUAUCAAUGAGAUGCUUUUGUUGUUAAAAAAAAAAAAAAAAAAAAACGGAUGUAGGUUCCUGCCAACUAACUUCAAUUGGUAUCCAAUCUCUCCCCAAAAAGCUAAAUAUCUUGAAAAAGCUUUUGUAGAGCAGAAAUUUGUUAGGCUAUGGGGACAAACAAAAUGGGGCCAGAUGGUUUUACCGUUGAAUUCCAUAAGAAGUCUUGGAACGUCCUUUAACCUGAAAUAAUGAGUAUUCCAAGAUUUUCAAGAAUUGUAUCAUCAAUGCUAGGUUGAGCGAGACCUAUAUUUUCCUCAUUCCAAAGAAAUCGGAUGCUAGAAAUGUGGGAGACUACCACCCAAUUACCCGCAUAUCAUGUAUGUACAAGAUCAUUGCUAGGAUUCUCUCUUAAAGGCUUAAGAAGGCAAUUCCUUAUACUAUCACUGAACAACAAUCAGCUUUUGUGUCUAGUAGACAAAUACUUGAUGCCUGUUUAAUAGCCAAUGAGCUCAUUGAUGAUUGGAAAUGGAAAAAGAAGCAAGGGCUGGUCAUAAAACUGGACGUCGAAAAAGCCUUUUAUAAGGUGAAUUUGGGAUGUUCUUGAAGAAAUUUUUGUGGGUAAUGGCUUUGGUCCAACGUGGAGGAAAUGGAUUUGGGGUUGUUAUCCUCUCCUAAUUUUUCAAUCAUCAUCAACAACCGUUUGAGAGGAAAGAUCCUGGCUACUGGAGGCCUCCAUCAAGCUAUUUGACGUAGCAUCAUGGCUUGAUGUUAGGUGGAAAGAAAGUUCCUCUCAUGGAAAAACGAUCAUAUCUCAAAGGGUGGAAGACUGCAACUCUUGCCAAUCUUCCGUCCAACUUAUUAUAUGGCCAUCUAUAGAAUGCCAACCAAAGUGAGUAACAUUAUGGAUCAAUUGCCCAUAAAUUUCCUCUGGAAAGUUAACAAUGAUGGCAAGGGUCUUCAUCUUGUCAAAUGGGAUAAUCUCCUUCACCCCUUGGAGAAAGGAGAGCUUGGUUUACACAAAUUGAAAGAUCGAAAUGGAGCCCUUGUUGUAAAAUGGAUUUGGUGUUACAAUGUGAGAAAACAGCUCUUUAGAGGAAGGUCAUUGAUACAAAAUACGGGACUACCCUUCUCAACAAAAAAUCGGGCAGCAACUCCUUGGAACAGCCAAGGGUCCAUUGAAAGCCAUUAUGAAACAUUUCUAUCUGAUUCACGACAGAUUAUCCUACAAUGGGUGAUGGGGCAAAUAUUCCCUUCUUGCAGGACAUAUGAAUUGGAAAUGACUCUUGCAAGAAAAUUUCCCUUGAUUUUUUUUUUUUUUUUCUCUUAGUAAAGAUGGGGCUAUCAAGGAUUUCUGGAACACAGAGUUUGGCUUUUGGAACUUGAGAUUGAGAUGAAACCAGAGACAGAAAUUGACGAAUUUGGGCCUACUUCUUACACUGCCUGUCCACUGUUUCCUUAUUUCACAGUUCUGAUAUAGGAAUUUGGAACCUAGAGACAAAUAGUGUCUUGUCCAACAGCUCUCUCUUGCGUGAUAUAGCCCCCUCCAAUACAGAAACUGAAUUUUCUCUUUAUGAUUAGAUUAGGAAAGGACACUACCCAGAAAAUAUCAUUUUUCCCAUGGGAGCUAUCUCACAAAGCUAUUAAUAUACUCUUGAAAAGUUAAAGAGAAGACUGCCUGAGAUGGGUUUGUCUCCACAAUGGUGCUUUAUACGCAAACAGAAAUCAGAAUCUCAAAGUCACCUCUUGGUGUCAUGUAAAUUUGCGAAGACCUUCGGAACUAUCUCCUCUCUUCAUUUAACUGGUAUGCGGACACUUCGGAAAAUCCCCAUGUCCUCCUCGCUUACACUCUUGGUGGGCAUCCCUUCAAAAAGGAGAAAAAAAGACGAUUUGGGAGAAUUAUAUAAGAGCCUUCUUCUGGAAUUUGUGGCCAAAAAGAAAUAGUAGAUCUUGAGAAAGAGCUUUCUUUUAUAGAUUUUUUUUAUGCUAUAGUUAAUACGGUUGUGAAUUGGUGUAAUGUUCUCCCUUAUUUCACCACUAUAGCUUUACCAUACUCCUUUGUAACUCCUUUGUGGGGUCUCCCUGCUUUUGUAAUUUUUAUACCAUCAAUGAAAUUGUUUUAGACAAAAAAAA